rnacentral:rRNA from 1 species
UUAUUAAAGAAUUUCGAUAACCGAUGGGGAUGCGUUCCAUUAGUUUGUUGGCGGGGUAACGGCCCACCAAGACAUCGAUGGAUAGGGGUUCUGAGAGGAAGGUCCCCCACAUUGGAACUGAGACACGGUCCAAACUCCUACGGGAGGCAGCAGUGAGGAAUAUUGGUCAAUGGACGAGAGUCUGAACCAGCCAAGUAGCGUGAAGGAUGACUGCCCUAUGGGUUGUAAACUUCUUUUAUAUGGGAAUAAAGUGAGCCACGUGUGGCUUUUUGUAUGUACCAUACGAAUAAGGAUCGGCUAACUCCGUGCCAGCAGCCGCGGUAAUACGGAGGAUCCGAGCGUUAUCCGGAUUUAUUGGGUUUAAAGGGAGCGUAGGCGGACUAUUAAGUCAGCUGUGAAAGUUUGCGGCUCAACCGUAAAAUUGCAGUUGAUACUGGUCGUCUUGAGUGCAGUAGAGGUAGGCGGAAUUCGUGGUGUAGCGGUGAAAUGCUUAGAUAUCACGAAGAACUCCGAUUGCGAAGGCAGCUUACUGGACUGUAACUGACGCUGAUGCUCGAAAGUGUGGGUAUCAAACAGGAUUAGAUACCCUGGUAGUCCACACCGUAAACGA